GACGAACGCUGGCGGCGUGCUUAACACAUGCAAGUCGAACGGAAAGGCCCUGCUUUUGUGGGGUGCUCGAGUGGCGAACGGGUGAGUAACACGUGAGUAACCUGCCCUUGACUUUGGGAUAACUUCAGGAAACUGGGGCUAAUACCGGAUAGGAGCUCCUGCUGCAUGGUGGGGGUUGGAAAGUUUCGGCGGUUGGGGAUGGACUCGCGGCUUAUCAGCUUGUUGGUGGGGUAGUGGCUUACCAAGGCUUUGACGGGUAGCCGGCCUGAGGGGGUGACCGGCCACAUUGGGACUGAGAUACGGCCCAGACUCCUACGGGAGGCAGCAGUGGGGAAUAUUGCACAAUGGGCGGAAGCCUGAUGCAGCAACGCCGCGUGCGGGAUGACGGCCUUCGGGUUGUAAACCGCUUUCGCCUGUGACGAAGCGUGAGUGACGGUAAUGGGUAAAGAAGCACCGGCUAAUUACGUG
rnacentral:rRNA from 1 species